rnacentral:rRNA from 1 species
AACCUGGUUGAUCCUGCCAGUAGUCAUAUGCUUGUCUCAAAGACUAAGCCAUGCAUGUCUAAGUAUAAAUGCUAUACAAUGAAACUGCGAAUGGCUCAUUAAAACAGUUAUAGUUUAUAUGGUAAUCGAAUUUACAUGGAUAACCGUGGUAAUUCUAGACGCUAAUACAUGCUGUUAAGCCCAACUUAUGGAAGGGCCGUAUUUAUUAGAUAACAGACCAAUAUUCUUCGUGUCUAUUGUGGUGAAUCAUAGUAACUAAUCGGAUCGUAUGGGCUAGUCCCUCGACAAACCAUUCAAGUUUCUGCCCCAUCAGCUUUCGAUGGUAGUGUAUUGGACUACCAUGGCUUUCACGGGU